CCCGGCCGGGGACGCGGAGCGUACAUGCGAGUCAGCGUGGCUUGUCGUGUAACUUCCAGGCAUUUCGGACUCAUGCAGCGUUAUGACAUGACCAUUUCUAGUUGGAAAUAUGAAGAAAAUAUGUGGAAAGGAACAGCGAUGCAAAAAAAAAAUGGGUGCCCACACCAGAUGAUGUGUAUAGAUGUAAAAUCUGUACACCGUAAAAUCCAGUGACCAAAGGUUUACUAACAGACAACUCCUAGCCUUCCUGUUAAGAGAGUAUCAUUAGUCUCUGUAACAGUAAGUAAACCCACUGCUUCUCCUGCUUAUCAGACAUGCUUCCUUCCUGUGUCAUGAAUUAUAUCACCACACUGAUGGGAAGAAGAGUA